rnacentral:rRNA from 1 species
AGGAAGGUGGGGAUGACGUCAAGUCAUCCAUGGCCCUUACGGCCUGGGCUACACACGUGCUACAAUGGUCGGUACAAAGGGUUGCCAAGCCGCGAGGUGGAGCUAAUCCCAUAAACCGAUCGUACGUCCGGAUCGCAGUCUGCAACUCGACUGCGUGAAGUUGGAAUCGCUAGUAAUCGCGGAUCAGCCAAGCCGCGGUGAAUACGUUCCCGGGCCUU